rnacentral:rRNA from 1 species
UGGGGAAUAUUGCACAAUGGGCGCAAGCCUGAUGCAGCCAUGCCGCGUGUGUGAAGAAGGCCUUCGGGUUGUAAAGCACUUUCAGCGAGGAGGAAGGGUAGUGUGUUAAUAGCACAUUGCAUUGACGUUACUCGCAGAAGAAGCACCGGCUAACUCCGUGCCAGCAGCCGCGGUAAUACGGAGGGUGCAAGCGUUAAUCGGAAUUACUGGGCGUAAAGCGCACGCAGGCGGUUUGUUAAGUCAGAUGUGAAAUCCCCGCGCUUAACGUGGGAACUGCAUUUGAAACUGGCAAGCUAGAGUCUUGUAGAGGGGGGUAGAAUUCCAGGUGUAGCGGUGAAAUGCGUAGAGAUCUGGAGGAAUACCGGUGGCGAAGGCGGCCCCCUGGACAAAGACUGACGCUCAGGUGCGAAAGCGUGGGGAGCAAAACAGGAUUAGAUACCCUGGUAGUCCACGCUGUAAACGAUGUCGACUUGGAGGUUGUGCCCUUGAGGCGUGGCCUCCGGAGCUAACGCGUUAAGUCGACCGCCUGGGGGAGUACGGCCGCAAGGUUAAAAAC